rnacentral:rRNA from 1 species
AUUGAACGCUGGCGGCAUGCCUUACACAUGCAAGUCGAACGGCAGCACGGGAGCAAUCCUGGUGGCGAGUGGCGAACGGGUGAGUAAUAUAUCGGAACGUGCCCAGUCGUGGGGGAUAACGUAGCGAAAGCUACGCUAAUACCGCAUACGAUCUAUGGAUGAAAGCGGGGGAUCGCAAGACCUCGCGCGAUUGGAGCGGCCGAUAUCAGAGUAGGUAGUUGGUGGGGUAAAGGCCUACCAAGCCGACGAUCUGUAGCUGGUCUGAGAGGACGACCAGCCACACUGGGACUGAGACACGGCCCAGACUCCUACGGGAGGCAGCAGUGGGGAAUUUUGGACAAUGGGCGCAAGCCUGAUCCAGCCAUUCCGCGUGCAGGAUGAAGGCCUUCGGGUUGUAAACUGCUUUUGUACGGAACGAAAAGGCUCUGGUUAAUACCCGGGGCUCAUGACGGUACCGUAAGAAUAAGCACCGGCUAACUACGUGCCAGCCGCCGCAGUAA